GCCAGCAGCUUAACUGCUGGUCUGCCUUUAAUACUGCAGUUCUUGAGUGCGAAAGAGGGAAGCGGAAUUCUUGGUGUAGCGGUGAAAUGCGUAGAUAUCAAGAAGAACACCGGUAGCGUAGGCGGCUUCCUGGUUCGUAACUGACACUGAGGCGCGAAAGUGUGGGGAGCAAACAGGAUUAGAUACCCUGGUAGUCCACACCGUAAACGAUGGAUACUAGGUGUUGGGUUUCACGACUCAGUGCCGAAGUUAACGCAUUAAGUAUCCCGCCUGGGGAGUACGAUCGCAAGGUUGAAACUCAAAGGAAUUGACGGGGGCCCGCACAAGCGGUGGAGCAUGUGGUUUAAUUCGAUGCAACGCGAAGAACCUUACCGGGGUUUGAAAUGCAGUUGCUCUCCGUUGAAAGACGGAUUUCCUUCGGGACAACUGUACAGGUGCUGCAUGGCUGUCGUCAGCUCGUGCCGUGAGGUGUUGGGUUAAGUCCCGCAACGAGCGCAACCCUUGUCCUUAGUUGCUAUCAGGUCAAGCUGAGAACUCUAAGGAGACUGCCUCGGAUAACGAGGAGGAAGGUGGGGAUGACGUCAAGUCCUCAUGGCCCUUACAUCCCGGGCUACACACGUGCUACAAUGGCCAGUACAACGGGAAGCGAUACCGUGAGGUGGAGCAAAUCCCUUAAAACUGGUCUCAGUUCGGAUUGUAGUCUGCAACUCGACUACAUGAAGUU
rnacentral:rRNA from 1 species